rnacentral:rRNA from 1 species
GAUGAACGCUAGCUACAGGCUUAACACAUGCAAGUCGAGGGGAAACGACAUCGAAAGCUUGCUUUUGAUGGGCGUCGACCGGCGCACGGGUGAGUAACGCGUAUCCAACCUGCCCAUCACUUGGGAAUAACCUUGCGAAAGUAAGACUAAUACCCAAUGACAUCCCACGAAGACAUCUGAAUGGGAUUAAAGAUUUAUCGGUGAUGGAUGGGGAUGCGUCUGGUUAGCUUGUUGGCGGGGUAACGGCCCACCAAGGCAACGAUCAGUAGGGGUUCUGAGAGGAAGGUCCCCCACAUUGGAACUGAGACACGGUCCAAACUCCUACGGGAGGCAGCAGUGAGGAAUAUUGGUCAAUGGGCGAGAGCCUGAACCAGCCAAGUAGCGUGCAGGAUGACGGCCCUAUGGGUUGUAAACUGCUUUUAUAAGGGAAUAAAGUGGGUCUCGUGAGACUUUUUGCAUGUACCUUAUGAAUAAGGACCGGCUAAUUCCGUG